GACGAACGCUGGCGGCGUGCCUAAUACAUGCAAGUUGAGCGCUGAAGGUUGGUACUUGUGCCAACUGGAUGAGCAGCAAACGGGUGAGUAACGCGUGGGGAAUCUGCCUUUGAGCGGGGGACAACAUUUGGAAACGAAUGCUAAUACCGCAUAAAAACUUUAAACACAAGUUUUAAGUUUGAAAGAUGCAAUUGCAUCACUCAAAGAUGAUCCCGCGUUGUAUUAGCUAGUUGGUGAGGUAAAGGCUCACCAAGGCGAUGAUACAUAGCCGACCUGAGAGGGUGAUCGGCCACAAUGGGACUGAGACACGGCCCAAACUCCUACGGGAGGCAGCAGUAGGGAAUCUUCGGCAAUGGACGAAAGUCUGACCGAGCAACGCCGCGUGAGUGAAGAAGGUUUUCGGAUCGUAAAACUCUGUUGGUAGAGAAGAACGUUGGUGAGAGUGGAAAGCUCAUCAAGUGACGGUAACUACACAGAAAGGGACGGCUAACUACGUG
rnacentral:rRNA from 1 species